CGUUAUCACCAUGAUGGUUGUACAGAGUCUCCUCUUCUUGGCUCUUAUUUCAGCUGUUCAGGGCCAGUCCCUCACCUCCUCACAGCCGGUGGUCAGCAGACCUGGAGAGUCCGUCACGCUGUCCUGUAAAGUACAAGGACUUCCUCUUGAAUGGCUGCACUGGAUCCGUCAGGAGCCGGGAAAAGGCCUGGAAUGGAUCGGACGCAUCGAUAGUGGAACUGGCACAAUAUUCGCCCAGAGGCUCCAAGGCCAGUUCUCCAUCAGCAAAGACACGUCUACAAACCAGGUUUAUUUACAGGCAAAGAGCCUGAAACAGGAAGAUUCAGCAGUUUAUUAUUGUGCACGAGAGCCACAGAGACACAAGAGACCACAAAGCUGUACAAAAACCAGUCCACACUCAGCUGAGGAGGAGGAUCAGUGA